AAACGAAUCUCGGCAACGGAUAUCUCGGCUCUUGCAUCGAUGAAGAACGUAGCGAAAUGCGAUACUUGGUGUGAAUUGCAGAAUCCCGUGAACCAUCGAGUCUUUGAACGCAAGUUGCGCCCGAAGCCAUUAGGCCGAGGGCACGCCUGCCUGGGUGUCACAC
rnacentral:rRNA from 2 species